CUUACCAUUACAGGCAGAGUCAGAUGCUAAUCUGCUUUUUACUCACAGGAAGGCCCCACAUGGCAGUCUGCCAAGUUCUCUUUGCCCUACCCGAUCACAACCCCGCGUAAAAACAGAACCAAUCCUCCUUCCCAUCACCUCUGAGAGGACUGAUAGUGUCCCUUACGCCUUGUGGCAGAGAACACCACUAACUCAUGGAAAGUUUGUUCCAGUUUUUUCAUUAAUACACUGUCUUGAGAGGAGAAAUACGCAUGGGAGAAACAGAGCCAACAGAAUUCUUAUCAUGCUGCCCCUGGAGACACCACAGCUGAACAGACUGGCAACCAGAACUCUCCUUCCUCCCUACCUUUCAAAGGGAAGACCAGCAACAGAAAAGGAACAAUAGCCAGCGAGACUGCUCAAAAUUCACAUCAGUACCGCAGGGGCAGAAGCAAGACCAAACCGCACACUCUUCUGUUCCAACAGAGCCACUCAACUGGUGUUCUGCAAUUAAUAAAGGGCAAAAAACCACACACCAUCCCUCAAAACAGUCAAAGAUUGUAGCUUACUUAUAUAUAAGUAAAUGAAAAAAGCUGAAUCUGUUAAUCACAAAACACCAGAACAAAGAAAUACUGACCAAAAAAUACUCUUGAUAAUUUACACUGCUGCUGAAAACCCAUCUCUUGUCCAGGCUAAGGUAUAUUGCACUAACCAUAUACCAAUCACCUAAACCAUUUAAGUAAACUUAUUAAUGAAGUAUCACACAGUAAAAUUGU